rnacentral:rRNA from 1 species
UGGGGAAUUUUGGACAAUGGGCGCAAGCCUGAUCCAGCAAUGCCGCGUGCAGGAAGAAGGCCUUCGGGUUGUAAACUGCUUUUUGUCAGGGAAGAAAUCUUCUGGGCUAAUACCCCGGGAGGAUGACGGUACCUGAAGAAUAAGCACCGGCUAACUACGUGCCAGCAGCCGCGGUAAUACGUAGGGUGCGAGCGUUAAUCGGAAUUACUGGGCGUAAAGCGUGCGCAGGCGGUUAUGUAAGACAGAUGUGAAAUCCCCGGGCUCAACCUGGGAACUGCAUUUUGUGACUGCAUGACUGGAGUGCGGCAGAGGGGGGAUGGAAUUCCGCGUGUAGCAGUGAAAUGCGUAGAUAUGCGGAGGAACACCGAUGGCGAAGGCAAUCCCCUGGGCCUGCACUGACGCUCAUGCACGAAAGCGUGGGGAGCAAACAGGAUUAGAUACCCUGGUAGUCCACGCCCUAAACGAUGUCAACUGGUUGUUGGACGGCUUGCUGUUCAGUAACGAAGCUAACGCGUGAAGUUGACCGCCUGGGGAGUACGGCCGCAAGGUUGAAACUCAAAUGAAUUGAC